rnacentral:ncRNA from 1 species
UGGGGGUAGACCCGCGCGCGCGCUGAAAAAGGCCAUUUUGCCGAUGUCGAAUCGCUUAAGACGCUAAAGGAACGUGGUACUGGGUCGGUUAUGCGACAUGAGCGUCGCAAGACUCGCCCUCGUCGCCUCCCGUACGAGAAAAUUAAACUCGCGCGCGCCUUGGGCAAAUUUAAACACGAAAAUGAGGGGGGUAGAUCCGCGCGCGCCCCGAAACGGCACCUUUGCCGACGUCGAAUCGGUUUAAAACGCUAAAGGAAGGUGGCACUAGGUCGGUUCUCCGUUCUGAGGGUGGAGCGACUCUUCCAACUCGUCGCCGGCACGAGAAAACGAAACUCGCGCGCCGCCGAGGUGAAAAUUCGAUCGCGAAAAUUAGGGGGGGUAGGUCCGGGAAACCCGUUGAACCCCGGUCGUGCUAGGGAUAGGGAAUUGCAAUUAUUUCCCUUGAACGAGGAAUUCCCAGUAAGCGCGAGUCAUUAGCUCGCGUUGAUUACGUCCCUGCCCUUUGUACACACCGCCCGUCGCUACUACCGAUUGAAUGGUUUAGUGAGGUCCUCCGAUUGGACCCGGUCCGGGCGGCGACGUCCGAGCCGGCGUCCGAGAAGACGAUCUAACUUGAUCAUUUAGAGGAAGUAAAAGUCGUAACAAGGUUUCCGUAGGUGAACCUGCGGAAGGAUCAUUA